GCCCGCUUAGCUCAGUUGGUAGAGCAGGGGACUCUUAAUCCCUUUGUCGCAGGUUCGAGUCCUGCAGCGGGUACCA
rnacentral:tRNA from 1 species